GUAGUUGUGCAGCUGUGAGGCUCAUGCAACUCAAAACCAUCAUUUUCUCUGCUGGGUUGUCUCUCAGUGCAAUCAGUUCCAUCUUUGGUUCACAAAGUAGCUGAGUAAACACACCAGGACACAAGACAAGUGAACGCGUGAUGGGAGUGUUCAGAGACAGCCCUCCAGUGAUGCAGGCAGAGCAUGGUGAAGGCAAAGAGCUGGGGGAAUUGCGCACUUCACUGUGGAGCAUAAGACAAGGCAAAAAAUCCAAAGAUUUUUGUUGUGGAAGUGAAGUCGCUCGGUCACAGACUGCUAGUGUGUCACAACACUGGCCGUAUGAAAAUGAAUCUGACCCCAGAAAGCACAAAUGAAGGAUCAGGCCUGCAUGAAGUAAGGGUCCAUUCCUGCCGUUUUAGAGGAGUCCUCACCAGCUUCUCAAUUUUCUUACUGUAACACUGAAGCACCAUGCAGACUCAUUCACGGAAACAGCUUUCAGCAACCCAUGUCAAAGGAUGCUGAGCAGACUUUUCAGAGGCUUUUAAUUCAUUUUUAAUCUUUGUUCCUAAAUGUGGGGCUGAUGCAAAUAAAAUGGCCAGAACAACUUUAUUUUAGGAAAAA
rnacentral:lncRNA from 14 species